AUCCAAACACACUCCGUCAACUUCGAACAACAGCAAUAGCGUGCCACGACUUCAGCAUCACGUACAAAACAGCAAACCAUUCCUACCCAUAUCCAACAACAAAACACUUCAACCCAUCUAUUUCCCCUCUUUUCACAUGUGCAGCAUAACCCCCCACGCGAUGGUGUACCGUGGAAGGUCCGAGGACCUUCUAGAAUUUGGGUACGUGUCUCCCCAAUGUUCAAAUUUGGUUUUUUCGAAUGGGGGUAGUAUGAUUUCGUACAUACAUGGUUGAAUUUGGUUGGUUAUUGGAAGAAUUUUCUCUUCCUAAUUUUCUAUUGGUUGAGUUUGUUGGAAUCUUUCCAAAAAUAUUCCAAAUUUUGUACAAUCAUUGAGAAAAAAGAGGAGCCUCAAUCUGAAUUUGAAUUUUUUGCCCCAUUUUAAAUCCUUAAAAUACCCUCAAUUUUGUCCGAAUACAAUGGUUCUCUAUAUAAGAACCCACUGUAGAGCUGACCGGAGAAAAGCUAGGUUCGAAAAGAGGGGGAAAAUGGGUUUCAGGAAAGAAUAGUUUUUGGUUUAGCAAAGAUUCUAGGAAAAGCAGUCAGCUAGUCGAAAUUUUCAUAACGGCAUCGAGCUUUUCGGUGGUGGUGGAGUCCGAUGUCGGCUCGUAGUUCCGUUUUGCUGCUCUGAAAUAGGGGUCUGGAAAAAUCUUCCUUACUUUCGUGUAAGGAUGCCUCAAUCAUACACCAAUUGAUAGAGGAAUUGAAGCAAGUCAAGCAAGAAAUUGAUCGAUUUAGGCGGUUGCAUCUAAGGCGCAGCUAUACGAAAAUCGCUUGAUCAUCAACGGAUGUCGCCAAUGAUAAGAAAUGGACAAAGCUAAAAAGGCGAAGGCCGAUAGAAGAAGCAUCCAGGAGAUAGUAUUUUCUAUCCCCUGCGUGGGAUAUCAUUUCUUUUUCUCAUUUUAUUUCCCUUUCCCUCAAUAUUGUACCUUUUUUGUGCAACUUUUGUAGGCAUUUAUGCUAUUUCUGUAUAUCUAUGAAAUUGGGUGAUAAUGGAUUGGC